AUUGAACGCUGGCGGAAUGCUUUACACAUGCAAGUCGAACGGCAGCACGGGGCAACCUGGUGGCGAGUGGCGAACGGGUGAGUAAUACAUCGGAACGUGCCCAAUCGUGGGGGAUAACGUAGCGAAAGCUACGCUAAUACCGCAUACGAUCUACGGAUGAAAGCGGGGGAUCGCAAGACCUCGCGCGAAUGGAGCGGCCGAUGGCAGAUUAGGUAGUUGGUGGGGUAAAGGCUCACCAAGCCUGCGAUCUGUAGCUGGUCUGAGAGGACGACCAGCCACACUGGAACUGAGACACGGUCCAGACUCCUACGGGAGGCAGCAGUGGGGAAUUUUGGACAAUGGGCGCAAGCCUGAUCCAGCCAUUCCGCGUGCAGGAUGAAGGCCCUCGGGUUGUAAACUGCUUUUGUACGGAACGAAAAGGCUUUCUCUAAUACAGGAGCUCAUGACGGUACCGUAAGAAUAAGCACCGGCUAACUACGUGCCAGCAGCCG
rnacentral:rRNA from 1 species